GAGACUGCCAGUGAUAAACUGGAGGAAGGUGGGGAUGACGUCAAGUCAUCAUGGCCCUUACGACCAGGGCUACACACGUGCUACAAUGGCGCAUACAAAGAGAAGCGACCUCGCGAGAGCAAGCGGACCUCAUAAAGUGCGUCGUAGUCCGGAUUGGAGUCUGCAACUCGACUCCAUGAAGUCGGAAUCGCUAGUAAUCGUGGAUCAGAAUGCCACGGUGAAUACGUUCCCGGGCCUUGUACACACCGCCCGUCACACCAUGGGAGUGGGUUGCAAAAGAAGUAGGUAGCUUAACCUUCGGGAGGGCGCUUACCACUUUGUGAUUCAUGACUGGGGUGAAGUCGUAACAAGGUAACCGUAGGGGAACCUGCGGUUGGAUCACCUCCUUACCUUAAAGAA
rnacentral:rRNA from 2 species